AAUGUAGUGUUCACAAGCAGACCAAGAUGUUAUGAAGCUGUGAAAUUCACUGGGACAUAAAAAUUUUAAAACCAUCAAGCUUUAACUUCACCCUAAAUAUUUUCUCAGCCUGAAGAGGGACUAAUCCAGUGCACAUAACUUACCAAGACUACUCUGAAAAACUAAGAACUGAACAGAGCAUGUAUCCUGGACCAGAUUUUCAUCUAGGAGGUGGCUGAAACACUCCGCAUAAAUUCCAGGAAGGGACUCAACUGCGUGGGAGCAGGUUUCAAAGGCAAGUGUAAUAUGACAGGAAUGAGCAGCAAAACAGCACUAAGGAUCCAUCACAG